rnacentral:rRNA from 1 species
CCUGGGCGGCUGUGAGGAAUAUUGGUCAAUGGACGAGAGUCUGAACCAGCCAAGUAGCGUGAAGGAUGACUGCCCUAUGGGUUGUAAACUUCUUUUAUAAAGGAAUAAAACGAGGCACGUGUGCCUUUUUGCAUGUACUUUAUGAAUAAGGAUCGGCUAACUCCGUGCCAGCAGCCGCGGUAAUACGGAGGAUCCGAGCGUUAUCCGGAUUUAUUGGGUUUAAAGGGAGCGUAGAUGGGUUGUUAAGUCAGUUGUGAAAGUUUGCGGCUCAACCGUAAAAUUGCAAUUGAUACUGGCAGUCUUGAGUACAGUUGAGGUAGGCGGAAUUCGUGGUGUAGCGGUGAAAUGCUUAGAUAUCACGAAGAACCCCGAUUGCGAAGGCAGCUUACCAAUCUAUAUCUGACGUUGAGGCACGAAAGCGUGGGGAGCAAACAGGAUUAGAUACCCCUGUAGUC